rnacentral:rRNA from 1 species
UACGAAGGGGGCUAGCGUUGCUCGGAAUCACUGAGCGUAAAGCGCACGUAGGCGGAUUGUUAAGUCGGGGGUGAAAUCCUGGAGCUCAACUCCAGAACUGCCUUCGAUACUGACGAUCUCGAGUCCGGGAGAGGUGAGUGGAACUCCGAGUGUAGAGGUGAAAUUCGUAGAUAUUCGGAAGAACACCAGUGGCGAAGGCGGCUCACUGGCCCGGUACUGACGCUGAGGUGCGAAAGCGUGGGGAGCAAACAGG